GACGGGGGGGGCAAGUGUUCUUCGGAAUUACUGGGCGUAAAGGGCUCGUAGGUGGCCAACUAAGUCAGACGUGAAAUCCCUCGGCUUAACCGGGGAACUGCGUCUGAUACUGGAUGGCUUGAGGUUGGGAGAGGGAUGCGGAAUUCCAGGUGUAGCGGUGAAAUGCGUAGAUAUCUGGAGGAACACCGGUGGCGAAGGCGGCAUCCUGGACCAAUUCUGACGCUGAGGAGCGAAAGCCAGGGGAGCAAACGGG
rnacentral:rRNA from 1 species